UAUGGUGGGAUGAGACAUGUGCGAGAGGGUUUCCAAAAUGGUUAGUUGGUUGGUUGAUCUGAUGAGUUAUGUUAAAAUUUGAAGAAGAGGACAAAAAAGUGAAUUUCCCGAGGAAGAGAAAAAUGGGAAAAGGGUUGAUGGGAACAAAAUAGUGAGUGGUGGGGACAUGCAAUUAACGUGGCGCCCUGGGGUUGCUUCCUUCCGGAUCAAAAUGCUCCACUGCUACCACACACACGACACAACUACUGCGACGCCGCGCCCCAACCGCCCAACCUCUAACUCUUCUUAACCCUUUUCUCUCUUUCUGCCCCCCUAUUCUAGUUACCGGAGAUAAUGGUGAACAAUUCUCAUCCUCAACACCCAAACUCUUUUUAACUCACUUCACUUCUAUUCUCAUACUCACUAACCCCAACGCUCUGCAACCGCCGGAAACCGUUCCCCGGUCACCCCUCCACCUACUCACUGAAGAUGACAUUUCUCAGCUCACCCGCGAAGAUUGUCGCUGUUAUCUCAAAGACAAAGGUCCCAUUUUCUCUCUCUCUCACUCUCAUUCUCUCAUUUAUGCCAUUUGCACGCGUUUCAAGCGGUGCGUGAGGUGUUUUAACGUGAACUCAAAACACAAGGAUGAGAAAGCCGUCGUGGAACAAAUCUCAGGCGAUCCAGCAGGUUAUAUCGCUUAGAGCUCUCCUCGAAACGAUGUCUUCAUCUGACUCCAACCUCCACCUUAACGCCGCCUCCGCCGCCCUUCAAAACAUUCCGAUGCCCUGGAUAGUCGAAUGUUGGCGUUUGAGGAAGAAUCGGUUCCGAAUCGGCCUUAUGAUUCCACAAAACCCGUUUUAUUGGCCCAAAACACUGCUCCUGAAAACGACAGCGUUUCACCCCGGUAUUCCUAUAAAACCCUUCUUCCUUGUGUUUGCUAUUAUUAUGGUAAAUGUGCUUACUUUUGUAUUAUUAUUAUUUUUAGUUAUUAUACUUUGUUAGAAAAAAAAAAUGGGAGUUCAAUUUAGGGGUCAAAAAUAAGAAAAAUAAUUACAAUACUAUGCAAUUGCUAGUGUAUCUAAUAAUUUGAGAUCUUGACCUUGGAGAUGGGAAAAAGGAAAAAAGAGAUUGUGGUGUUCACUGUUGGGUCAGCAAUUUAGAAAGGAACGAUUCCAUAAAUGGGUUGAGCGUUCUUAAGCGCACUUUGAAAUGUCGCUCAAUUGAUGGCAUAUAUACGUCCAAGUCCCAAUAUAACAGAUGCCCACUUACUUACUUUUAUUAAGAAAUCCGAGUCAAAUAAAUUUUGUAACAGUAUGGUGGAAGUAACCAAUGAGCCAGUUGUACAGAUGAAAAUUUUCUAGUGGGAAAGUCAAUGUGUAUGAUGAUAUCUCAGGUGAUAAGGCCAGUAUAACCAUGCAGCUUGCUGCAAGUCCACUCUUUCUGCCUCAUACAGCUCCAUUUGAUGUAAUUACAACGCUUUGGCCCUUUCAAUGCCACUUAGGCGGGUAUCAAUUUGCAUUCAUUGGGUCCAGCUUCUCCAGCUGCAAUCUUCCCAAGGCUGCAAACAGUUGCAGAAAAAGAUGAGUUCCAUAGAGAAGGAAUCAGCAAAACUCUUGAAGACAACCCCGGAAAAUGCUUCUUGUCUUCCCAUUGAGCUUUCCCCUUUUGUAUUCUAAGAGGGUAAAAACUUGUGUACAAGCGUUGUCAAGUAGAAAAACUUCAGUCCAAAGGUAUCUUGAGAAGCGAAAAGACAGGUAUCAUCAUUCACUGAAUUAAACGAACUUCUUGAAAGUCUAAUUUACCUACAGAAAUGUUGCUUGGCUCUUUGUUCUCACAUUCUUGUUAGUUGAAGGCACAAGAGGUAGGUAGCAUUGCCGCCUCUCACUGGCUUGGACAUCUACUUAAACCAUGUCGUUGUAGAUCAAAAGCCAAACCAGCAACGGAACCAGAAUGGAGCUUACUCACCCUCCCAACCUAGACAGCCUCAGACACCUACCAGGAGCAACUCAAUUGAAAAUAGUAACAAAAAAUGGAAAUGUCCACAAGACACAACCAAAAGAUGGGCAAGAAAGUCGAGAAUGGUGAUCAAUGAUGGUGCAUGGUGGUUUGGUAUUUAAUGAUUACUGGUUGACUUCAUGGAACCAACACUUUCCUAAAAAUGUAGUCUCUCCUAAAAAAGAGCUCUUUACCGGAAGAGGGUUGGUACUUCUUUUCAAGUAGUUAGAUGAAACCAAGAUUUCAGUGCUGCAUUAACUUUAUGUUUUUGGAAUCUAUUAAUAUUCAUCUUUGAUGAUAAUUGAUGUGUUAUGAAAAAGAGGUUUCAUCGGUGUUACUGUGCUUGGCUCCUUACGCUGCUCAAAAGCCAAUCUAAAUUGGAAAGCAGUGAAUUUGUGAAUUCUUGAAAAUUUUAGCACAAAUUCUCUUCUGUAAAAAAUGCAAUCCUCUCACUAGUCAGUGGUCACUACUAGGCACAUUUUGAGCUUGGGCUGAAGUGAAUAUUGGGCCAAGUGGUCGUCAUCAGGGCCCAUCUUGAGCAUGUAUAAGCGUCAAGUAGCCUAAGAUGGUUCCUCCUCUACAUGUCAUGGCCAAAAUCAUUCCACUGAAGACGGAACCAAAAAGAUUGAAGUCCUGAAGCAGAAGACUGAACCAGGGACCAAAGAGAGAACGGAUAACGAUAUUUUUGAAUUGAAUGGUGAAAAUUUAGUCAAAUCAGCUAUUAAUGAUAUGAAUGUAAUUGAACCUAUGCUGGCGUAUUUAAUCCUUUUUUUCAUCAUAAA